rnacentral:rRNA from 1 species
UACGAAGGGGGCUAGCGUUGCUCGGAAUCACUGGGCGUAAAGGGUGCGUAGGCGGGUCUUUAAGUCAGGGGUGAAAUCCUGGAGCUCAACUCCAGAACUGCCUUUGAUACUGAGGAUCUUGAGUUCGGGAGAGGUGAGUGGAACUGCGAGUGUAGAGGUGAAAUUCGUAGAUAUUCGCAAGAACACCAGUGGCGAAGGCGCUCACUGGCCCGAUACUGACGCUGAGGCACGAAG